rnacentral:rRNA from 1 species
GAUGAACGCUGGCGGCGUGCUUAACACAUGCAAGUCGAACGGGAUCCCAGGAGCUUGCUCCUGGGUGAGAGUGGCGAACGGGUGAGUAAUGCGUGACCGACCUGCCCCAUACACCGGAAUAGCUCCUGGAAACGGGUGGUAAUGCCGGAUGCUCCAGUUGACCGCAUGGUCCUCUGGGAAAGAUUCAUCGGUAUGGGAUGGGGUCGCGUCCUAUCAGCUUGAUGGCGGGGUAACGGCCCACCAUGGCUUCGACGGGUAGCCGGCCUGAGAGGGCGACCGGCCACAUUGGGACUGAGAUACGGCCCAGACUCCUACGGGAGGCAGCAGUGGGGAAUAUUGCACAAUGGGCGCAAGCCUGAUGCAGCGACGCCGCGUGCGGGAUGACGGCCUUCGGGUUGUAAACCGCUUUUGACUGGGAGCAAGCCCUUCGGGGUGAGUGUACCUUUCGAAUAA